rnacentral:rRNA from 1 species
UAGGGAAUCUUCGGCAAUGGACGGAAGUCUGACCGAGCAACGCCGCGUGAGUGAAGAAGGUUUUCGGAUCGUAAAGCUCUGUUGUUAGAGAGGAACGUUGGUAGGAGUGGAAAAUCUACCAAGUGACGGUAACUAACCAGAAAGGGACGGCUAACUACGUGCCAGCAGCCGCGGUAAUACGUAGGUCCCGAGCGUUGUCCGGAUUUAUUGGGCGUAAAGCGAGCGCAGGCGGUUCUUUAAGUCUGAAGUUAAAGGCAGUGGCUUAACCAUUGUACGCUUUGGAAACUGGAGGACUUGAGUGCAGAAGGGGAGAGUGGAAUUCCAUGUGUAGCAGUGAAAUGCGUAGAUAUAUGGAGGAACACCGGUGGCGAAAGCGGCUCUCUGGUCUGUAACUGACGCUGAGGCUCGAAAGCGUGGGGAGCAAACAGG